rnacentral:SRP_RNA from 1 species
GCCGGGUGUGGUGGCUCACACCUGUAAUCCCAGCACUUUGGGAGGCCGAGGCGGGUGGAUCACCUGAGGUCGGGAGUUCGAGACCAGCCUGACCAACAUGGAGAAACCCCGUCUCUA